GAUGAACGCUGGCGGCGUGCCUAAUACAUGCAAGUCGAGCGAACAGAUAAGGAGCUUGCUCCUUUGACGUUAGCGGCAGACGGGUGAGUAACACGUGGGUAACCUACCUAUAAGACUGGGAUAACUUCGGGAAACCGGAGCUAAUACCGGAUAACAUUUGGAACCGCAUGGUUCUAAAGUGAAAGAUGGUUUUGCUAUCACUUAUAGAUGGACCCGCGCCGUAUUAGCUAGUUGGUAAGGUAACGGCUUACCAAGGCGACGAUACGUAGCCGACCUGAGAGGGUGAUCGGCCACACUGGAACUGAGACACGGUCCAGACUCCUACGGGAGGCAGCAGUAGGGAAUCUUCCGCAAUGGGCGAAAGCCUGACGGAGCAACGCCGCGUGAGUGAUGAAGGGUUUCGGCUCGUAAAACUCUGUUAUUAGGGAAGAACAAAUGUGUAAGUAACUGUGCACGUCUUGACGGUACCUAAUCAGAAAGCCACGGCUAACUACGUG
rnacentral:rRNA from 1 species